UGACUUGUCGCUGACGAGUGGCGGACGGGUGAGUAAUGCUUGGGAACCGACCCAGUAGUGGGGGACAACACGGGGAAACUCGUGCUAAUACCGCAUACGUCCUACGGGAGAAAGUGGGGGAUCUUCGGACCUCACGCUAUUGGAUGAGCCCAAGUCGGAUUAGCUUGUUGGUGGGGUAACGGCCUACCAAGGCGACGAUCCGUAGCUGGUCUGAGAGGACGAUCAGCCACACUGGGACUGAGACACGGCCCAGACUCCUACGGGAGGCAGCAGUGGGGAAUAUUGGACAAUGGGCGCAAGCCUGAUCCAGCAAUGCCGCGUGUGUGAAGAAGGCCUGCGGGUUGUAAAGCACUUUCAGUAGAGAAGAAAAGCCUCGGGUUAAUACCCCGGAGUCUUGACGUAACCUACAGAAGAAGCACCGGCUAACUCCGUGCCAGCAGCCGCGGUAAUACGGAGGGUGCGAGCGUUAAUCGGAAUUACUGGGCGUAAAGCGCGCGUAGGCGGCUAGGUCAGUCGGAUGUGAAAGCCCCGGGCUUAACCUGGGAAUUGCACCCGAUACUGCCUGACUAGAAUAUGGGAGAGGGAAGUGGAAUUUCCGGUGUAGCGGUGAAAUGCGUAGAUAUCGGAAGGAACACCAGUGGCGAAGGCGACUUCCUGGCCCAAUAUUGACGCUGAGGUGCGAAAGCGUGGGGUAGCGAACAGGAUUAGAUACCCUGGUAGUCCACGCCGUAAACGAUGAGAACUAGAUGUCGGGAGGGUUUACCUUUCGGUGUCGCAGCUAACGCGUUAAGUUCUCCGCCUGGGGAGUACGGUGGCAACACUAAAACUCAAAGGAAUUGACGGGGACCCGCACAA
rnacentral:rRNA from 1 species